GGGUUGUGAGGUUAAGCGACUAAGCGUACACGGUGGAUGCCCUGGCAGUCAGAGGCGAUGAAGGGCGUGCUAAUCUGCGAUAAGCGCCGGUAAGGUGAUAUGAACCGUUAUAACCGGCGAUACCCGAAUGGGGAAACCCAGUGUGAUUCGUCACACUAUCAUUAACUGAAUCCAUAGGUUAAUGAGGCGAACCGGGGGAACUGAAACAUCUAAGUACCCCGAGGAAAAGAAAUCAACCGAGAUUCCCCCAGUAGCGGCGAGCGAACGGGGAGGAGCCCAGAGCCUGAAUCAGCAUGUGUGUUAGUGGAAGCGUCUGGAAAGGCGCGCGAUACAGGGUGACAGCCCCGUACACAAAAGCGCAUGUGCUGUGAGCUCGAUGAGUAGGGCGGGACACGUGGUAUCCUGUCUGAAUAUGGGGGGACCAUCCUCCAAGGCUAAAUACUCCUGACUGACCGAUAGUGAACCAGUACCGUGAGGGAAAGGCGAAAAGAACCCCGGCGAGGGGAGUGAAAAAGAACCUGAAACCGUGUACGUACAAGCAGUGGGAGCACCCUUUGGGGUGUGACUGCGUACCUUUUGUAUAAUGGGUCAGCGACUUAUAUUCUGUAGCAAGGUUAACCGAAUAGGGGAGCCGGAGGGAAACCGAGUCUUAAUUGGGCGUUAAGUUGCAGGGUAUAGACCCGAAACCCGGUGAUCUAGCCAUGGGCAGGUUGAAGGUUGGGUAACACUAACUGGAGGACCGAACCGACUAAUGUUGAAAAAUUAGCGGAUGACCUGUGGCUGGGGGUGAAAGGCCAAUCAAACCGGGAGAUAGCUGGUUCUCCCCGAAAGCUAUUUAGGUAGCGCCUCGUGAAUUCAUCUCCGGGGGUAGAGCACUGUUUCGGCUAGGGGGCCAUCCCGGCUUACCAACCCGAUGCAAACUGCGAAUACCGGAGAAUGUUAUCACGGGAGACACACGGCGGGUGCUAACGUCCGUCGUGAAGAGGGAAACAACCCAGACCGCCAGCUAAGGUCCCAAAGUCAUGGUUAAGUGGGAAACGAUGUGGGAAGGCCCAGACAGCCAGGAUGUUGGCUUAGAAGCAGCCAUCAUUUAAAGAAAGCGUAAUAGCUCACUGGUCGAGUCGGCCUGCGCGGAAGAUGUAACGGGGCUAAACCAUGCACCGAAGCUGCGGCAGCGAACGUAUCACCCAAGACAACUUUACGGAGUUGACGAUUGACGGAGCGAAGCGACGUCAAAGCGUUCAUUAAAGUCGAGUUGGCUUAGGGAUACGUUCGUUGGGUAGGGGAGCGUUCUGUAAGCCUGUGAAGGUGUGUCGUGAGGCAUGCUGGAGGUAUCAGAAGUGCGAAUGCUGACAUAAGUAACGAUAAAGCGGGUGAAAAGCCCGCUCGCCGGAAGACCAAGGGUUCCUGUCCAACGUUAAUCGGGGCAGGGUGAGUCGACCCCUAAGGCGAGGCCGAAAGGCGUAGUCGAUGGGAAACGGGUUAAUAUUCCCGUACUUGGUGUUACUGCGAAGGGGGGACGGAGAAGGCUAUGUUGGCCGGGCGACGGUUGUCCCGGUUUAAGCGUGUAGGUGUGUGUUCCAGGUAAAUCCGGUUCACUUUAACACUGAGGCGUGACGACGAGGCACUACGGUGCUGAAGCAACAAAUGCCCUGCUUCCAGGAAAAGCCUCUAAGCAUCAGGUAACACGAAAUCGUACCCCAAACCGACACAGGUGGUCAGGUAGAGAAUACCAAGGCGCUUGAGAGAACUCGGGUGAAGGAACUAGGCAAAAUGGUGCCGUAACUUCGGGAGAAGGCACGCUGACACGUAGGUGAAGUGAUUUACUCAUGGAGCUGAAGUCAGUCGAAGAUACCAGCUGGCUGCAACUGUUUAUUAAAAACACAGCACUGUGCAAACACGAAAGUGGACGUAUACGGUGUGACGCCUGCCCGGUGCCGGAAGGUUAAUUGAUGGGGUCAGCGCAAGCGAAGCUCCUGAUCGAAGCCCCGGUAAACGGCGGCCGUAACUAUAACGGUCCUAAGGUAGCGAAAUUCCUUGUCGGGUAAGUUCCGACCUGCACGAAUGGCGUAAUGAUGGCCAGGCUGUCUCCACCCGAGACUCAGUGAAAUUGAACUCGCUGUGAAGAUGCAGUGUACCCGCGGCAAGACGGAAAGACCCCGUGAACCUUUACUAUAGCUUGACACUGAACAUUGAGCCUUGAUGUGUAGGAUAGGUGGGAGGCUUUGAAGUGUGGACGCCAGUCUGCAUGGAGCCGACCUUGAAAUACCACCCUUUAAUGUUUGAUGUUCUAACGUGGACCCGUUACCCGGGUUGCGGACAGUGUCUGGUGGGUAGUUUGACUGGGGCGGUCUCCUCCUAAAGAGUAACGGAGGAGCACGAAGGUUGGCUAAUCCUGGUCGGACAUCAGGAGGUUAGUGCAAUGGCAUAAGCCAGCUUGACUGCGAGCGUGACGGCGCGAGCAGGUGCGAAAGCAGGUCAUAGUGAUCCGGUGGUUCUGAAUGGAAGGGCCAUCGCUCAACGGAUAAAAGGUACUCCGGGGAUAACAGGCUGAUACCGCCCAAGAGUUCAUAUCGACGGCGGUGUUUGGCACCUCGAUGUCGGCUCAUCACAUCCUGGGGCUGAAGUAGGUCCCAAGGGUAUGGCUGUUCGCCAUUUAAAGUGGUACGCGAGCUGGGUUUAGAACGUCGUGAGACAGUUCGGUCCCUAUCUGCCGUGGGCGCUGGAGAACUGAGGGGGGCUGCUCCUAGUACGAGAGGACCGGAGUGGACGCAUCACUGGUGUUCGGGUUGUCAUGCCAAUGGCACUGCCCGGUAGCUAAAUGCGGAAGAGAUAAGUGCUGAAAGCAUCUAAGCACGAAACUUGCCCCGAGAUGAGUUCUCCCUGAGACUUUAGGUCUCCUGAAGGAACGUUGAAGACGACGACGUUGAUAGGCCGGGUGUGUAAGCGCAGCGAUGCGUUGAGCUAACCGGUACUAAUGAACCGUGAGGCUUAACCUUACAACGCCGAAG
rnacentral:rRNA from 1 species